rnacentral:rRNA from 1 species
UAGGGAAUCUUCGGCAAUGGGGGCAACCCUGACCGAGCAACGCCACGUGAGUGAAGAAGGUUUUCGGAUCGUAAAGCUCUGUUGUAAGAGAAGAACGUGUGUGAGAGUGGAAAGUUCACACAGUGACGGUAACUUACCAGAAAGGGACGGCUAACUACGUGCUAG